rnacentral:rRNA from 1 species
GCUAAUACAUGCAGUCGAGCGAAUUGACAGAGGUGCUUGCACCUCUCGAUUUUAGCGGCGGACGGGUGAGUAACACGUGGGUAACCUACCUAUAAGACUGGGAUAACUUCGGGAAACCGGAGCUAAUACCGGAUAAUAUUUAGCUUCGCAUGAAGCAAUAGUGAAAGACGGUUCUGCUGUCACUUAUAGAUGGACCUGCGGUGUAUUAGCUAGUUGGUGAGGUAACGGCUCACCAAGGCAACGAUACAUAGCCGACCUGAGAGGGUGAUCGGCCACACUGGGACUGAGACACGGCCCAGACUCCUACGGGAGGCAGCAGUAGGGAAUCUUCCGCAAUGGACGAAAGUCUGACGGAGCAACGCCGCGUGAGUGAAGAAGGUUUUCGGAUCGUAAAACUCUGUUGUAAGGGAAGAACAAGUACGUUAGUAACUGAACGUACCUUGACGGUACCUUACCAGAAAGCCACGGCUAACUACGUGCCAGCAGCCGCGGUAAUACGUAGGUGGCAAGCGUUAUCCGGAAUUAUUGGGCGUAAAGCGCGCGUAGGCGGUCUCUUAAGUCUGAUGUGAAAGCCCCCGGCUCAACCGGGGAGGGUCAUUGGAAACUGGGAGACUUGAGUACAGAAGAGGAGAGUGGAAUUCCAUGUGUAGCGGUGAAAUGCGCAGAGAUAUGGAGGAACACCAGUGGCGAAGGCGGCUCUCUGGUCUGUAACUGACGCUGAGGUGCGAAAGCGUGGGGAUCAAACAGGAUUAGAUACCCUGGUAGUCCACGCCGUAAACGAUGAGUG